rnacentral:rRNA from 1 species
GGGGGGGGGGGGGGGGGGGGGGAGGGGGGGCGGGGAGGGCGCUGGAGGAAGGAGCUUGCGCUUGCCGGAUGGGGUGCGAACGGGUGAGUAACGGGGAGGUAGCCUGCGUGGUAGCGGGGGAUACCUAUUGGACGCGGUAGCUAAUACCGCAUCACAGGAGAUGUUGGAUGAUAUCUACUUACAAGGUGCAAUUGCACCACUACCAGAUGGACCUGCGUUGUAUUAGCUAGUUGGUGAGGUAACGGCUCACCAAGGCGACGAUACAUAGCCGACCUGAGAGGGUGAUCGGCCACACUGGGACUGAGACACGGCCCAGACUCCUACGGGAGGCAGCAGUAGGGAAUCUUCGGCAAUGGACGGAAGUCUGACCGAGCAACGCCGCGUGAGUGAAGAAGGUUUUCGGAUCGUAAAGCUCUGUUGUAAGAGAAGAACGAGUGUGAGAGUGGAAAGUUCACACUGUGACGGUAGCUUACCAGAAAGGGACGGCUAACUACGUG